AAACUCUCAAAGAAACAAAGAGUUCAGACGAGCAUAUGUGGAUGGAGUACUGGAAAUGGACUCUCAUGCAAUCCCACAUGAGUUCAUCUUUAUAGAUGAGGCUGGGUUCAACCUAACAAAGACCAGAAGAAGGGGAGAAACUUCAUUGGCCACAGAGCCAUUAUAGAUGUUCCUGGCCAACGUGGUGGGAACAUCACAAUGUGCGCUGCCAUCUCCAAUAUGCAUGGUGUCCUCCACAGUCAUGCCAACCUUGGACCAUACAACACAGCCCAUAUUCUCACAUUUCUGGACAGACUUCACAACAUUCUCAUACCACCAGAGCGUAUGAAUGAUGCAGACCAUCAAAGAAACCGGAACGUUGUAGUAUGGGACAACGUGAGCUUUCAUCGUGCAGCCCCAGUCCAAAACUGGUUUGCUGACCACCCAACAUUUCUCGUGCAAUACCUCCCACCAUACUCACCAUUUCUGAACCCCAUAGAAGAAUUCUUUUCGGCAUGGCGGUGGAAGGUAUACGACUGGCAGCCCUUUGUGCGCAUGUCUCUUGUGUAGGCCAUGGAAGAGGCAUGUGAUGAGAUUGAUGUGGGUGCAAUUCAGGGAUGGAUAAGGCACUCAAGGCGCUUUUUCCCUCGAUGUCUGGCAAGGGAAGAUAUUGCCUGUGAUGUUGACGAGGCGUUGUGGCCAGACCCGGCUGUGCGGCAAGAUGCUGCCUAAUUAUCUUUCUUGCCUCUUUUUUUUACUGUAAUAUAUUUUUUUCAGAAAUGUCCUUUUUCAGUUUACUGUUUUUUGUAAGAAUAUUUUUGUUCAGUCCCAUGUAAAUAUAUCUGCUGUGCAUAUGUUGCACUGACUUGUUUACUGUAGUGAAGGAAAAAAAAUAAAAAUGUUGCAACAG